rnacentral:rRNA from 1 species
CCUACGGGUGGCAGCAGUGAGGAAUAUUGGUCAAUGGGCGAGAGCCUGAACCAGCCAAGUCGCGUGAGGGAAGACGGUCCUAUGGAUUGUAAACCUCUUUUGCCGGGGAGCAAAAAGCGGUACGUGUACCGCAUCGAGAGUACCCGGAGAAAAAGCAUCGGCUAACUCCGUGCCAGCAGCCGCGGUAAUACGGAGGAUGCGAGCGUUAUCCGGAUUUAUUGGGUUUAAAGGGUGCGCAGGCGGCGAGUUAAGUCAGCGGUAAAAUUUCGGGGCUCAACCCCGACAAGCCGUUGAAACUGGGUGGCUAGAGUGGGCGAGAAGUAUGCGGAAUGCGUGGUGUAGCGGUGAAAUGCAUAGAUAUCACGCAGAACUCCGAUUGCGAAGGCAGCAUACCGGCGCCCAACUGACGCUCAGGCACGAAAGCGUGGGUAUCGAACAGGAUUAGAUACCCGAGUAGUC